UGGUCAAGUUAUUAAGGGUGCAGGGCGGAUGCCUUGGCACUAGGAGCCGAUGAAGGACGUGAUAAGCUGCGAUAAGCUUCGGGGAGUUGCACGUAAACUUUGAUCCGAAGAUUUCCGAAUGAGGAAACUCACUUAGAGUAAUGUCUAAGUAUCAUUAAGUGAAUACAUAGCUUAAUGAGGGGAACUCAGGGAACUGAAACAUCUAAGUACCUGAAGGAAGAGAAAGAAAUUCGAUUCCGUAAGUAGCGGCGAGCGAACGCGGAUUAGCCCAAACCAAUAAAGUUUUCUUUAUUGGGGUUGCGGACAUAUCAUAACGAAGAGGUAUCGUAAUUGAAGAGGUUUG
rnacentral:rRNA from 1 species